UCCGCUGUAGUGUAGCCUGGUCCAGCACGCCGCGGUUUCAUCGCGGGAACCCGGGUUCAAAUCCCGGCAGCGGAU
rnacentral:tRNA from 1 species